rnacentral:lncRNA from 1 species
AUUUUCUCCAGGAAGAAACUGAAGUGGAGCUAUGCCAAUUCCAAUCAAUUGACUUUUAUGGACUUUUUCAUAGCUUUCAGCUAGGACAGCUUUAACACCCUGCAAAGAUACAAGCAAUUUUGUAUUUCAGUACAGUCAGUCAAAGUUAAAUGCAAAAGUGAGCUUCAAAUAUUUUUAUGUAGAAAGCCCUGCAAUUCAAGUGUACAAGCACUUUGUAUGAGGCCUGCACACAGGGAACGUUUUAGCUUCACAGCUAGACAACAGCAAAUAAACCUCAGUAAACCCAUACAGUAUGAAACAGUUUCAGAAUGCAUAGUGACUGUGCUGUAGUUGACAGGGAAUACAGUUGCUUCCUUUAUUCCAGUGCUGUACAAAAAUAACUGGCUAACUCAGAACAUAUCCUGAAUAUUACUGGAAAUUAGUUUAUUACUAACAAAACUCUAAAAGCCUCCCAAUACUCUACAGAAUCCAAUCAGAGGCUAGCACUGGAUUUAUGGUCUCAUUUAUCUCAAGAAGUCUGGAGACCUAAGUGAUCUUACAUGGUCACCAAAUUCAGAGUUACCCUUCUGACGAGUCACCCUCCUCCACGAAGGUUUUAACAUAAAUUACUGUUAAGUAAAAUGCAGCAUUGCAUUCAACCUUGCAUACAGUUUCUAAAUGUUUAUGCCCCAAAUUAAACAUUAUAAAAUAUUUUUAGAUAAUAAAAAACCCCACAACAGCAAAAACCACAGAUAUCAAAAACCAAACUAGCAGUACCAGUAGAAAAGGCCCUUUUGCUGCCCAGUCUCUCGAGCUGCCCAGUCCGUACUUCUUUCCUGCUAAAAUAAUUACAGGAAUGCCUUCCUUCUGGUACAAUUCUGCUGCUUCAAACACAUCUAGCGUUUGUCCUGAUGGGAAGUGAAUUGUUUUAGGAGCUGGUUUUCCUAUGAACUUGUUCAGAAGCUUGAUGUUAGCAAAUGUACCCCUCGUCAUCACAGCAUCGUUACCCCGUCGAGCGCCAUACGAGUUGAAUUCCCGAGGUGUGAGUCCUUUGUUAGUCAGGUACUUAGCAGCAGCACUACUCCUUGCAAUGCUUCCAGCAGGAGAUAUGUGAUCUGUAGUUACAGAAUCUCCCAAAUACAGCAAGACGUGGGCAUUUUCAAUCGGCUGCAGCGAAACUGGUUCUUUGGCAAGUUUAUCAAAGAAGGAAGGACAUCUGAUAUAAGUGGAUUUCAAGUCCCAGGGAAAUAAAGGUGACUCAGGUGCUUCCAGUGAAUUCCAUCGUUUGUUUCCUUUCUCCAUUUUUUCUUUCAAUUCCUUAAACAUAGAUGAUAUCACACAUUCUUCCUCCACUGUGUGUAGCUCUUUUCUUGUGGGCCAAAUAUCCCUUAAGUAGAUACUUCUGCCAUUAAAGCCAGUGCCCAAAGGCUCAGUCUCAAAGUCUAUUCUAACAGUGCCUGCAAUAGCAUACGCAACUACGAGUGGGGGAGACGCAAGGUAGUUGGCACGGACACAGUCGCAGAGACGUCCUUCAAAGUUCUUUGUUCCAGACAGCACUCCACAGGCAAUGAUAUCACCCUGCUUUAUUGCAUUCCUGAUGGCUUCUGGAAGGGGAGCAGUGUUUCCAACACAUGUUGAACACCCAUAACCAACAACCUCAAACCCAAGCUUACUGAGGUAUGGUAAUACUCCACUGGAACUGAG